UGCUCUGUAAGAACAUGGUGAGGAUAGUGGGUUAGUGAGUCUGUGCUGUGCUGACAGGUGCAGAUACUGAUGCCCUUUGUGUCAGACCUGGAUUCCUGGAGAGGGAGAAGAAGCUGAAGGCUCAGGAGGAGGUCAAAGACAUAAGGGGCCUUAAAGAUGCAUUCGUCCCAGUCAUCAAAUUGAUCUUUGAUGGGAAUGAGAUUGACUUAGUCUUUGCACGGGUGCCACGGAGGAGCAUUCCUGGCUCUGGAUCUGGAUCUGGAUCUUCUCAACGAC